GUAUCGGUUUCCGGGUUUCAUAUGACCGGCAUCUUCCGGUCUUCCCCACCUCUUCAUAACCCAUCUCAACACACCGCCCCAAACUCACCCAAAUCACAAACAGCAACAGCCACAUCGUUGUUCCUUUAAUGAUAGAAGUAUGUAAUUUUUUCAAAGAGACCGAAAUCGAAGUUCCGGCAGCUAGGAUUCCACUACGAACCCGACUACGGUGGUGAUUUGGGUUGUUGGUUCUGCGUCGGCUAGGGUUUCAAUUUAAAUCCGAAGACAGCGGUGAUUUCAGGUUGUCACUCUGAGGCCGGGAGCGGCAAUCGGAGAUUACGUUCACGAUCUCUCUGCGAUUCUUUCUGCAUGUUUGUUUGACGAUCCGUUGCUUUCCAAUUCAGAUUGUUUUUAUCAGUUUGACGAUUAACAAGCUAGGUGAAAGCUUGGGAACGAAGCAGGUCAAACGAAGCAAGAAUGACGGAAAAGCAUAAUUUGGAAGUAAGUGAUCGCCAAGAGUGCCCAGAUGAAGAUCAAGCUCGAAGAAGAACCGAACACACGAGAUUAAAGCUUCCGCACGGAGUUACGUCGUAACUUUUAACAACGAACUUAUUUAUAUAAUGUUGAAGACUUUUAAGUUGUAAACGUUUUAAAUUACUCGUAUUUUCCAAGGAUACUCAAUCGUAAUUACAUGUUUAUUUUCGUUAAUUAUAUGAAAACCUUUA
rnacentral:lncRNA from 1 species